rnacentral:rRNA from 1 species
CAGUAACCGCGGUAAUACGUAGGUGGCAAGCGUUGUCCGGAAUUAUUGGGCGUAAAGGGCUCGCAGGCGGUUUCUUAAGUCUGAUGUGAAAGCCCCCGGCUCAACCGGGGAGGGUCAUUGGAAACUGGGAAACUUGAGUGCAGAAGAGGAGAGUGGAAUUCCACGUGUAGCGGUGAAAUGCGUAGAGAUGUGGAGGAACACCAGUGGCGAAGGCGACUCUCUGGUCUGUAACUGACGCUGAGGAGCGAAAGCGUGGGGAGCGAACAGGAUUAGAUACCCGCGUAGUCCCUGUCUCUUAUAA